AUUGAACGCUGGCGGCAGGCCUAACACAUGCAAGUCGAGCGAGCGGCGGACGGGUGAGUAAUGUAUGGGGACUGCCCGAUAGAGGGGGAUAACUACUGGAAACGGUAGCUAAUACCGCAUACUAUCGGAUGACCCAUAUGGGAUUAGCUAGUAGGUGGGGUAAUGGCUCACCUAGGCGACGAUACCUAGCGGGUCUGAGAGGAUGAUCAGCCACAUUGGGACUGAGACACGGCCCAGAUUCUUACGGAGGCACCAGUGGGGAAUAUUGGACAAUGGGCGCAAGCCGGAUGAAGCCAGGCCGCGGGUAUGAAGAAGGCCCUAGGGUGGUAAAGUACUUUCAGUCGGGAGGCGUUACCGACAGAAGAAGCACCGGCUAACUCCGUGCCAGCCGCCGCGGUAAUAC
rnacentral:rRNA from 1 species